GUAUGUGUGUAUAUGUAUAUGUAUGUAUAUAUAUGUAUGUAUGUAUAUGUAUAUAUAUGUAAUGUAUAUAUAUAGCUGCAUAUGUAAAUCAUGGGAAGGUUCUAUAUAUUAACAUAUCUGAGAAGACAGCAAAUAUAGUGAGUCAGACACAAUUGCCUCAACUUAUUUGGCAUAAGUUUCUGAAAAGCAGGUAUACUGUGAGAGAAUAUGCUGGCUUUUUAUAAACCCCUCCUCAACCAGUUACCUAGGGCUCCAUAGGCCAGUUUGGCUCAGCCAUGGCUUUCAUUCUGCUGCUCUGGUACAUCUGGGAAGCACACAGGUUCAAUUAGAGGCUCGAGGGCAUAGGAUAGGGAAUGGAGUGUAACUGCUGAAAACCUUAUAGGUAUUUAUAUCAAACCUAUUACCUUAAAGAUGAGGAAACUGAGGCUCAGGAAGCCCCGAGUUAUGUUCUGUGGCUGCAAGUCACAGUUUGGUGGCUUCUGACUUAGGACCUUAUGUCUUGUCGGUCUACAAAAGGGCGGGUAGAAUCUCACGGUGUGGUUCUUCCUGUGCUCUUUGAAGAGGUUCUGCAGUCCAUCAUUUGUUAGAUGUGGAUAUUUAGCUACUGGAGAAAUGUAAGAGCGGAGCAAAAGCUGCUCUAUGCUCGAGACAGGACAAUUUUCAAGACAAGCACGGGGGUGAGGUGGUAAUCCAUUGAACAUUUGUGGUCACCGGGCUGUGUCCACAGCACGAAUACACAUGAGAGCAAGAAGAUGCACACAGCUCUGAUGCUGCAGAGACACCUGAUGAGCUACGUGACUUAGGGCUGCCCUUCCCUGCUGCUCUUUCCCAAAACUGUGUCCUAAACCACAGAGACUGUCACCCCAUUCUCUGUCCUACCUCCUCUAAGCUGGACCUGUGUGCUCCCCAGGUGUACCACAGCAACAGAGAGUUCAAACCCUCGCUGAGCCAAACUGGCUUACGGAGCCCUAAGUAACUGGCCCAAGAGGGACUUAUAAAGAAAAGACAACAUAUUCUCACAAUACGCCUGGCUUUCAGAUAGUAGUGAAAACAUUCCAAAAUAAAUCAGAAGGAUUUAAUUCCUAACAUCCAAAGCUUCAGUGGCCCUCACAGUGUCUACUUCACAUAGAAAAUGCUAGGGGAAAUAUCAAGUAUGUCAGGAGGCUUGGGAAUUCACAACAGAAGACGAUCACUCUGAAGUGGCUAACCCUGCUCUGUCUCUUCAUUUGAGCAGUAGGAGAGGGCAAAGGGCAAUGGGCAAAGGCUCCAGGGAUUCAUGUGUGUAAGGAAGAAACUCCAGCAGUAAGACCAGGAGGUGUGGGAAGAGAACACAGAAAAUGAGGACGCAGUAGAUACGUAAACAAAACAUCACAAUAAGUGGUUGUUAGGGAAAAAAAGAGAGAAGGAAUGACCAGGAAUCUAACCUGAAUGGAGCUUUACAAACAAAAGUAUUUACAGUGUUCUUCCAAGACAAAGACUCAAGAGGUGCCUGACACAGGCAAACAGUAACUGGCUGUCCAUCCGGAACAGUGCUUGCCAUCUCCAGGAAAGAAUCCUCCCGUCUGACUACAUCCUUCCCAAGAUCUUUUCCAUGUGACUUAGACAAGAAUUAAGCUGGAUCUGAAUCCAUUUCAAAGCUGCAUAGGCACAUCCCCAAAGAUGUCCCUCGAAGGGCGGUGAGGAACUGUAAAAAGGACAGCCCAACCUCCUCCACACACACUAGUAUGAACUAACAGAAGGAGACGGAAGGGGGAGAAGCCGGUUUGAGGUGAACGAAAAAACGACCAUAUUAACUGUGGAAAGUGUCAAGGGGAAUGGGGGAAGGGGUGACCAUGAAUUUAAGCCAUCCACCUGUGCUUCUGAAUCACAAGCUGACUGGAUAGCAGAAGGACUACCCAGACACCCUGCGGUCCUGCCAAGCAGGCUGACAGGCUGACAGGCUGACAGGCUGACAGGCUGACUUCCGCCACAGCACUGCACCACCACUUCACCAGGCGAGCACAGCCAGACAUCGGCGUGGACACAGCAUGGGUGGCACAGAGAUUUCCAGGCCUGCUCCGUGCCCUGUCUCAUGGGGUGUGAUAUGAGACUGGAACAAGUUGUCUCUGUGGCGGGCAGCCAAGGAGCAUUUGCCUCUCACACUGCACCCAGCGCGAGGAGCACGUGGAACGACCAUGACCUGGAGGGUGUUCCCUUGCUCCAGUAGCACCUGGUGUGGGGAAGAGGGGAGGAGUCGUCCUCUUUGAAUCAACCUGGGGCGGGGCCAAUCUGCGGGUUUGCUACUCCUCUAGGUGGCUUGUACUGGAUUCCAAGGAGGAAGGUUAAAGCUGUCACUCCAGAGAGUGUGAAGGCUAAAAUAAUUCAGACGCGUAAUACAAGAUCAUCAUGUUCUGCAGUGUCCUAGUGAUUUACGUAAAGGACUACUGUGCCGUCUAUUUGCCAACCACUACGUCUCAUCCCUUGCUACCUGAGCAGAGUGACCUGGGGAAGCAGAUGAAACAAUAGGUCAUUGGCCUUAACGACUUGCUGACUGCUGUGUACAUUUCUGUAAAAUCUUCCUUGUUUGUUCACACCACCAUCCCCCCCCAGAAGGUUUAGAGUACAAACCUUCAGAGAAUACAAAGUGAACCUGGGACCGGGGCCCUUCAGGAACCAUCCUGGUUCUGAUCGCCUUGUGACACCUCGGUUCCACUCAUACUGGUGUAAGGGCGCUUCCUCAGGAAACUUCCCACAAUGAAAGUACGUCCCUGGAAGUGGGCUCCGAGAGUGAAAGGCCGCACCGCACUCACAGUUCACCAUCUCUGCUUCGUGCCCGUGGCUCAAGGCGAGAGCUCCAGCGGAUAGACUUGCCAACCUGACGUGCCAUCCCGACCAUCGUACCCCUCUGGAACCCUAAGUAAAAAUGUUAACUCUUUCUUCUUUAAGUUGGGCAGGGCAUUUUGUCACGGCAACCAGAAAAGUAACCAGUACCUAGCUCGAAUGGCAAGCUUGUAUUACCAGCAUCUUUCCACAAAUCUGUAUCUAACUCCCAUCUAUUAAGGAGCUGUGGAAAGCCCGUACUACUAGACAUAGUCAAGACUACAUGCAAGCACAGCCAGGAGUGACCGACAACGUGUCCUACCCGGACUCUUGUUCGCAUGCAUACUCUAUUGAUCCAUUGAAAUUUGCCGAUGCUAUUGCUUCCUGAUACAAGAAGCUGGGUCCUGAAACUCACCCUGUAGAUCGGGCUGGUCUCAAACAGAGGUCUGCCUUCCUCUGCCACCGGAGUGCUGGGAUUAAAGGUGUGUGCCACCACCACCCCCCCGGCUGGACUUUCUUUACGCAAAUUCAAAUAUAUUUUCAAGAUGCCAACAGCAGAGCAUAAAACAAAUGCCAAAUCCUUCUGAAUGUGGAUCCCUGGGUGAUUGCACCAUAAGGCAAGGGUAAGCAACUGCUUCCUGAGGCUCACUCCAAGGGAGAAAAUAAAUGCUCCUUUUCUCUAGAAAAUGCAAGCACGGACAUCUGCCUUCAUGGACUCAUGAGUACUAAGCGCAUUAAGACAUUAUAAGUUGUUAGUUAUGAUAUAGAUUUAGGUAAAGUAGAAGAAACAAGAGCAUCGGAAGAUAAAACAAGGCCCUUCAAGUAACUGACGCCAUUGUAAUGAAUGGAGGACACCUAAAGACAGUCUUGUUGACCUCAAGGAACUCACACACAUAACAGAGUGAUGAGCUGUCACAUAACUUGUUGUAAGUGGUGUAAGUCAGGUAGGCCAGAGGCUGUAAAGAGACUGCAUUUGAUACCUCCUCUGAGGGACAGACACAGCCAUUAUUACAUAGCGGGCAGGCCCUACUGGGGAAAUGUUGUGACCUUCUCUACCCUCUAGGGGGCGCUCAAGGUCUUCUCUGCUGAUAUCUUGAAGGAACUUGUCUUUCCAGAGAGAAGGCCCCUUAGAAUUAGCUUAAGGCUCUGGUGUCUGCUGGAAUCUCUUCUUUCAGGUGUUUGCUUUUGAGCUGCUCACCAUUCGGUUCCCAUGGUGCUGGCGCAUGCAGGUGGCACAUGCUGCUGCUAGUCUGGCUUUCCCCACUCCUUGGAAAAGCUGUCGUUCCACUUAGAAGACUAAGCAAGAACCAGAGGACAGCCUCUUGUGCAGAAAAAGACUCAUCUAGGAAAGGUUUUGAGCUUAAGACAGAUCAUAAGAUGGUUUAGGGUGAGGUUUGUUUAGGUUUGUCUUUCGGUUUGUUUGGUUGGUUGGUUGGUUUGGUUUUUGUAACUUGUUUUGUUGUUUGUUUGUUUGUUUGUUUUCUGCAUUCUAAAUGAUGAUGUUUGCCAAGGUACUGAGAGGAAAUGGCAGGAUGGAGUUCAGAAGUUUGAAACUCAAACAUAUCCAGCACUCCAUGGCCAAGAGUUGGUUCUAGAUCUUGCUUUCACUAAUGUUUCAUGACUAUACCCUGGAUUUGAAGUUGCAAAACUCUCCUGAUUCUUGAGGAAAAAAUGCAUGAGGAUGUUCUAAAAUUUCUCUUAUUCACAAAAGCAACUACAUUUCAUUGGAAGAUAUUUCUCUGAUUUCUAAAUUAAACCCCAUUUUCAUCUCUUGCAUCUUUUUUAUUGUAUUUGUAAACCUGUGCUUGAGCAGUCUAGGACAGAAGGAGUCCUAGGGUAGUUUCUGGCUAUCUUGCCAGAAAGCUAAGGAGUUUUGUAUUGUUGUAUCCUCCUUCCCCCAAAGAGAUUCAUGCCCUAAGUUUGAUUUAAAUGUAGUUUUCCCUUGUCAAUUCAAGAAUCAAACUGUCUAGGGAUGGCGUGAAGAGAGCCAGUUCCAAAGGAAGCAGUGGCUAGGAAAUGUACUUGUUUAACAAGGAAUUCCAACUGGUUCCUUGCUGUAUCAGUAGAAGUAGCUGAGCCUAUGCCUCUAUGCCUUUUGUUUUUGUUUAUAUUUUGUUUGCUGGAGAAGCUGAUUAUGUUAGAUGUCAGUGUUCUGAAACAAUUCAGUCACUGUACAUGAGAAAUGACUUCAAGGUGCUGGGAGACUGAAGAGGAGACAGAUCCAGCUUUACAUAGAGUGCAAUUAAUUUACUGAGAAGUGUGAUUUUACACUCAGAGGUGUGAUUUGGGGGAGCAGAAAAAUCUGGUAAAGUUCGAGCAGUUUGGAUCAGAAAGAGGCAUUUAUUUGUUAGGACAAAGGUAACUUCAUCCGACCCAUAAUGUAACUGGCUUACAUUAGCUAAUACCAGUGAGUCAGGAACAUUCCUGGUGCUUGUCUAUAUAUAAUGCUAAAAGAAUAGGAUAGAUGAUAGCGAUAGAUAGAUAGAUGAUAGAUAGAUAGAUAGAUAGAUAGAUAGAUAGAUAG
rnacentral:sRNA from 1 species